UUUUUAUCUGCUUUUUAUAGCACAGUUAUAACUGUGACCUUAUUUGAAAAUAGGGACACUGCAGAUGUAAUCAGGAUGAAGUCAUACAGAGACGAAAAGCUUUCAAGAUUAAGGCAAAAUAAAGAUGUUUUUGGACAAAGAAAAGCUGGAAGAAGUCACUGCCAACAGUCUUGAUUAAGGAAAAUGAUCCUAAAUCCUCAGGAGGAAAAAAGAAUACAAGCAAGGGUGUUUCCAGUUAAAGUAAAAUUGUGAUGACACAUCCCUAAAGG
rnacentral:lncRNA from 1 species